AUCCCUACGCAAGUAUAAUAUAUUACCGAUAGCAUGCUUGAAUUUUUUUUUUUUUUUUAUGAAAAAUAUAUCUGUGCAGGUGAACUUUUAGUAAUUUUUUACAUCGCUGUCAAUGACGUAGUUUCAGCGUGCUCAGCGAACAGACCUAACAAAUGAAUCAAAUAAAUCGUUGCUGACAGUUUUCUUUAAUGAUUUCUGUUGGAUAGUAAGCUAAUUGAAGCCCUAGCAAAGAAUAACAUAAAGUUGGGUCUCAUCUUCUCAGCAUGGGAAAAGCGGCAUUCACUAUUGCAUCUUUGAUGAGAGCUUCACCUUUUGUUGGGAUCCACAUCAGAGCCCAGGACGUCAGCCUUCUGCUGGGAUAUUGUUCUCUUUUCCCGCGGCACCUGGGGAAAGUAAACAAACUCUAUAUUUAAGAUCAGCAUCAUGGAAUUGCAGUGUUUUAAGGGAGAUUUAAGCAACUAAGGGAAAUAAUCUUGAACAAGAGGCAUUAUGUUUUCCGUUCAGUAUAUUAGACCUGCAACAAGACGGUCAAGUCUGGAUCGAGUGCACAGCACUUAUCACACCAUAUGAUGGAUAUACAGAGUGGCAUCUACAUGCUUACUGGCCCAAAUAACUGAACAGUACAUGGAUACUUAUAGAUAACAUAUAAUGCAUGCAUACUAGGCCAAGACUUUUAGCUGAUGUGUGAGCAAACAACAGCAUGGGGAAGAUUGAUGGUGCCACAGUUGUGAUUCCAGCUUUAUUGGAUGCAAAGAUCUGGGAAUACGAAAAAAAUUUUUUUUAAAUGUACAUCUGCUUAAGUCAAACACUGUAAAUAAAACAUGUUUCCCAAGAAAAUACUAGCUCUUCUACUUACACCGAGUCAUGUUUAGUUCAAUGUGUUACUUGCCUUAUUUUGUUCAGUAAUUGUUUGUGAUAUUUUGCUGGAGUGAAAUUUAUUUGUACAUUUACCCCCCUACCGCCCAAACUCACACACACACACACACACACACUUUUUUUUUUUUUUAAGUGAAGGAUGAAUGGCAGAUACAAUCGCUGAUAGUUUCCUUUUACAGGAUUUUAUAGAGACAUUUUUUAUUAAUUUAAAGAAUUAAAUCGUUCAAAUAUUCUAUGU